CAUCUUUGCAAACACCACCCCGCGAUCAGCCUUCAUUUUUCUAAAACGCCCCUGGAAACAACGACCUCCCCCGAUCUUCUUCUCUCAAUAGAUGGAUCUCGAGAACACAUGGAGUACUCGUUCAUAUUGUUCGAAUGAACGCGUUCAUUUUCAAUGUCCAUUGGAAGUUGAGCUUCACACUAAGAGCAUGUACAGUGCGACGCUUAUAAGCCGACACUAGGAUCAAAAUCCUGUCCAACUUGCAGUUUUCUACUCCAAUCGAUGCUAAAUGAGUCGCCCAACUCUAUCUCACUUUUUGGCUCACGACGUGAAAAUCGGAGGCAUCUGGAUUUAGCGCCCAGCACUGCAGGGUGGGGCUCUUAGCUGGUUUUUAAUUUCCCGGUUUAGAAGUGCUUCUGUGCUUUGCUAAAAAAAUUGCACGACUUUUAAAGCAAAUGGAAGAGUCAAAUCCUUCCGUCUAUGAUAGUCCAAAUACGUGUAACCCUAAAGCCCACAAAGUCCGGCGGUUAACCCUUUAUCAUGAUGCCCAGUUGGCAGUUGCUCGCGUCCUUUCGUUCUUCUCCACGACCACCUCUACUCGGGCCUCUUCUUUCUCCAUGGCUGCCUUUUUGAGUCCACGGUGGAUCGGACUUAGGGGAGUCAAUACGAGAGAUGGUUCCAGACUAGGGUGCUCUGCCGCUCUGGCACUCUUUUGUCGAUGCACACAUAGGUUGGGUCAACGGAGAUCUGCCCCACGCACGAGCGACGGCGAUCCGCACCAGGAGCUUGACGCGGUCGAGGGCAACGUCCUGACAGGAGGCUUCUCUGUGAGGAAAACGGUGUCAGCGUGUGGGCAAGCUCGGACACUGGAUACGGGCUGGAUCUGAAGGCCGUGUUCUAGCAAUUUGCAUUACCGUUAAGUACUAACACUUCUUUGGGAUUCAUGCUGAAUUUUUUUCCAGCAAAGUAGAGAAGCACUUCUCUUAUUUUUCUCAUUCUAAGCUGCUAAAUAAGCACCGACCAUUGGACAUGCUCUAAACGGGUUCCCACAAGUUGCCACGUGCAAGCUCACUGCCAACUGAGAUCACGAAAGGGGGCGCGGCUUGCCUGCGGCCCUCGCGUGCGACCAUCCGUGUGACCCGACGCAGCCGUUCUUAUCAAUCUAACAACUCCCGCAGAUUUCCUCGUCCCGCAUCCCAUUUGGAGUAGUAGGAAAAAAAAACAGCGUAUUUCAUCUACUUCCCGUACAUACACGUGCCCGUACUUUUUUUAUCCAGAUGUCUUAGAGGAAGAAACAGGAAGACAUACGGUCAGGACCAGGUGGCAGGAGGCCUAUAGUGGACCGUGGAACUCGUUGUCCAGGACGUUGGACUCGAGGUCUUUGAACGUGUUUUGCCCAAUUGCCCGGGUCCAGCGUCCUCGAACCGGAGGAACUCGUCCCGCCCGCGGCAGCGUCACGUACAGUCGACCACAGCACCGAUUCCCAAUGAAUGCGGAUUCGAUAUGCAAACCGCAAAAAGGCCUAGCAAACGAGUCAACACAAGCGCGGGCGAUUGUUGCGCCGGACUACAACAAGCACCUUAGAAGAAGCAAGUGUGCAAUAAAUAUUCACCUGAGAAACUGGUUACAGAUUUCCAGGUGUCAAUCUUUCAUGGUUCCAGACGGAUCAAGCAAUCGAGUCAUGUCAUGACUUUGCCGAUCCUUGGGUUCCGUUCCGAAAUAAUUGGUGCCAGUAGUUUUGCAAAAACACCCUUGAUGUUUUCUGAAAUCAACCUGCAGGACACACCUUCAACUGAAGGUGGACCACAGCUUGAUUUCAGAAAACAGGAUUUUUUUUAGCAAAAGUUCCGAUAGAACGUGGACUGCGAACCAAUUUCGGGAAACAGCAGGGGUGUUUUUGUAAAACAACCGGGACCAAUCAAUUUGGUACCGAGGGAGCAGCAGUAGGCUAGCAACAGCAUCCCCACCACUAGGUCCGCUACUAAUCAAAAACAUUUCUCAACAAGUGAACCUACAGGGCCAUAGCCUUGCUGAAAUAUCUCUAACAAACCACCAUUCUAUCUGAUUCCUACUCAGAUCAAGUACUUGUGAUUGUGACCACCUGGGAUGAAUGAAACAUAAAGGAAGCCAACAAGACACCAAUUAGCUCUAUCGGUAGAAAAGGAAUGUUUCGUAUAAGCUAUAUAUCUUGAGGAAUAUGGAAUGCGCAAAAUAAAUGCCACGGAGCUUGUUGACUUUAUUUUAUUUUUACAUAAUGGAAAAGGAUUCAUUACCAUAGUUUCCAACUUUCCAUAAGAAACAAGCACUGCUAAAUGCUGAUUAACAUGUCAGUACUAACCCACCGUGGUAAAAGCAGUUGUCGUAGCCCAACUUCAACACUAUAUACUAAUAACACAUAAUAAUAGUAUAGUCUGUGCCCAGAGCUAGUUGAGGGAGGGAUUGUCAGCCUGCAAUAUGCAGAUGAUACUUUUUUUUCCCAGAAUGAAUUCGCCCGACACGACGAAUCCCGCCCCCCAUGUCUUUCUUUCUCAUUGAAUGAACCACUGCAUGGGACGCCCUAUUCCUAUGAAUUCAAUGAUUUAAGGGCCCUUGGGGGAAACUUCGGAAAGAAAGCCUACUGGUUGGUCUGGUUGUCCCCCCGGCGGUGCCCGGGCGGUCCUCGGUUCAAUCUUGCCGAUUCUACCUAGACAUGGCUCAAAACGAAGGGGUAAGACCAAGUGUUCUUAAAACAAAACUCCCAGUGCACACUCCGGAGCACGGUCUUCCGCUUUUUGUUGCAGAUGGCACUAGGAAAGCCACCAACCUUAAGUGGAUCCUCACCUGUUUUGAGCAGUCAUCGGGGACGAGAAUAAACUAUCACAAGAGUGAGCUCAUUGCAGUUGGCAUGGAAGAUGUGGAGAUUAGACCUUUUACUGACAUUUUCCAAUGAGUAGAGGGGCAUUUCCCCAGUAAGUAUUUGGGGAUUCCCUUGCACUUUGAGAGCUUAAAAAGAGCUGAUUUGCGACCUGUGGUAGACAAAUUGAUGAAUAUGAUUGCUGGCUGGAGGGGGAAAUUGUUGUCAAGUGGGGUAGACUUGCUUUGAUCAAAACUGAACAAAUCCAACGUGCAACAUGAUAUGAAUCCGUAUCUAACACUAACAUCACCCGAGAUGAAAAAUCAAACUCGGUUUACGACCUAGUGAAUACGACUAGACUACAAACUAAACUGUAUACUUACAUUGCGGAUCCAGCCCCACCGGUCAGCGACUCGCUGGUCGGCUCUGCUCCUCGACGAACGCUUCCUCAGGUCAGCCCUGCACAGGCCAUCGGGUACCACGACACAUACGAUGGAUGGGUCUUGGGUUCUUGGCAAACUGCGCUGAGGGCCACCGAGGCCAGAGCAGGGGCCCGACCAAUUUUCCUAGCCACCCCCCGCCUGUGGCCCAUUUUCUCACGGAGAGUCCCCAAUCCUCACUUUCGCUCUCCAUAGGGGGGAACCCGGCCGGACUGCCGGCGCAAAUCCGAUCUCGAUUCCAGUUCCGAUUCCUUCCAAACCCCCCCACAAAAAUCAAAUCGAGUCUAGGCUGUAGAGGAACUUGAGAUGAAGGAUCUCAAGUUCCGAUUCCUUCCGCCGCAUUACGACUCCGGCGACGCAAGGCCAUGCUUUUCGCUGCUAGAAAAGCACGCCUACCUCGUCCGCCGCCAAAACGCCACAACCGCCGCCUGCGACCUCGACAGCGGACGGAUCCAGGCCACCUUCUGCGCCGCCCACCCGCCACGCGCAUCCUACUUGUGCAUCCAUGCCACCGGCUUGGGUCGCACUAAGCUCCGCGCCGAGCCCCAGAUCUUGGCCACGGAGGGGCCCCUCGCCGUCAUCCGCGUCGUCGUCAACCGUCGCAAGUCGUUCGUGGAGGUGGAGUACUUCGUCUACCACGCCGGCAGCAGCUCCUCCGAGGGACGCCGGCCGCCGUCGCUCAAGCGCAUCCCGAACCCCGCACCCUACUUUUUCUUCAACGAAAAUACGGUUGCCAUCGUGCGCCACUGCCCUCGUCAAGCCAGCACCCGGCGUCGCCCCGGCGGCCUCAGUGCCUGCGCCCUGCGCCCCAACCGACGAGACAGCAAGGAGGAGGAGGAUCAUGACUGCGGCGACUGCAACUACAUCAUCGCGGCACUCCGCAACGACGGGUCCAACACCAGGGCACCCUACCAGCUCUGCCGGUACCACUCCAAGACUGAAACUUGGAGCCCUCCCGAGCCAAUGGAAACCGAGUGGGAGCACGGACCUUACCCUUCCGGUUCCUCCUGCAAGGCCAUUACCAUCGGAGGAGAGCAAGGCACAGUGGCCUGGGUCGCUCUCAACAAGGGCGGCAGGGGUAUCAUCUUUUGCGACGUGCUCACAAUAACAGACAGCAGCCCCCGGCCUCCGGUGCUUCGCUGCCUGGACAUGCCGCCGAAAAUCAAGACUUUCAGUGGACGUUCAUAUUAUGUCCGGGAGAUUGACCUCGUCGACGGCUUCAUCGUCUACAUCGAGUUGCAGAUACGUGACCUUGCGCCAGACACACCUACAGAUGAAUAUGUUUGGAUGGCCAGCACAUGGAAAUUCAAGAUCGACUCAUCUUUGCCGUUUUCAUCUAUCCAAUGGCAGCGGGGAUGCAAGUUAGGCUCCUCUGAGGUCAACAAAUCCAUGCGUGAUAAGCUUAAACUUCGCGAUGCCGAAACAAUCUGCAAGAUAGGCCUGCCCGUCCUGAGCCUUCAUGAGGAUGGCAUUGUUUACAUCCUCACCACCCUUUUCCGCGAGAAGAGGCACACCAAGUCAUGGGUGCUUGCCAUUGACAUGAAAAAGAAGAUGGUGCAGGAGCUGGACGAGUUCGAGAACAACCGAAAAGUCUACUUAUUCGGGGGCUUCUUGAUUCCAAGUAGGAUCACCAAAUAUCUCCAACUUGAUCCAGGUAAUUCAAAGUCCCUGUUGCCUAACCAGCUGUCGUUAGGAACUGGUAUUGUUUAUUCUUGGGGUUUAAUUUCAGAUUUUAAACGAGGACCCACCGGGGAAGGUCCUGAUUGAGCUAGAGUUCACUUAUAGUCUCUACAUUGUUAUUAUACCUUUUCUUUCUUCUCCAUAGGGAUAGGUAAAGUAAGGGUUACUAGUUAGAAGCCCGUGCGUUGCUACGGAACAAAAAAAGUUCAACAGACAAUAAAUAUGGUCCUACGUAUAAACAAAAUCAUUUAGUCCCUCUAGUCUGAUCAAGAUUACCAUCUCCUUACUAAGCUUCUAAUUUUUGUAAAUUUCCUAUAUGUACGUAGCACUGUUUCGAUAGUUGUGUAAUGACUGAUGAAAUGGACAAAACCCAAACUGCUAUUCGGGGCCUAUAUUCUUGGGAUGGUUUACACUUAAUAUUGGCACCUACAUAUAUAUACUCAAAAGUGUUACAUCUAUGCUACUAUUAUAUUGUUAGCCCCCAUCUUUGUAUUAAACUUUUAAAUCUCCUUCCUGAUAUAUACUUGGCCCUACCUUUGAUCUAGUUCAUCAUAUGAUGGCAUCCUAUCCUAAAAAUCCAGAUUUUCUCCAAAGUAUUAUGUAAAUCAGGUAACAGAGGUAAAGAAUCUGAAACUGAACAAUGACCAAUUUAUAAUAAACUGAUGUUCCCCUUUUCCCCUCCCAACAUUUCUUCACAACCAUGCAUCAGAUCAGCACAGAAGUAAAUCAGUAAUCAUUUUUAUUCAAAAAAUUUGUGCCAUGCCGUACAACAUUUCACCUAAUUGGUUGGGAUGUCUUAAACUGAUUAGAGAUGGAUUUUGGUCACCUAAGCUCCCUGAAUUUUCUUUUUUGAUGCCAUGAAGUACAAGGUUUCACCUGAUUGGCUGGGGAUGUCUUAAACUGAUUGGAGAUGGAUUUUGGUCGCCUAAGCUCCCUGAAAUUUCUCCCCUUGGGAUCUGGUAGUCUAAACAAUAACCUAGGUCCUUGCAAAUUUCUCCCCUUGGGAUUUUGGUCUUCUAGGUUCCAUAGGGAUAGGCAGAGCAAGGGUUAUUUGGGGCUGCCUGCUACGGACUAGUUGUUUACGAAUCAUUUUCUUUUGCUAAACUAAAGACAUGUUUUUUGUACUGUAGAUACAACAAAGCAAAACCACAAGCGACAAAAGAUGAUGCUGCAACGACACUCGUGCGUGGACCUGCCCGGAGUCGCCAUUGAGUCCCAUUCAGAUAUGGAGUUAGAUGAUGAUGAGGAGGAGGAAGAAGAAGAGGAGGAAGACAAUGGGCCAUCCCUGCCAGAGCCAAAAGCACAAACCCCAGAGGAGCUAGCACUGGAAUUGGCAUGCAAGCCGUGGCUUCUUAACUUAGAGGAGUUGGUACUGGAGAAGUCAGGCAAGUCGUGGAACGAGGUACUCCAAAGCCGAGGCAGUGCAGUUCCCGUUUCGGAGGGAGAAGUGGAGGACGUGGAGGAGGCGAGCAAGAAGCCACGGACAUAUGAUUGGAUUAUCUGAUGCCUUUUGGCUGCUUGACAUUUGUGCACACUUAGAUUAUCCUGUGUCUUUUGUUUAGUAAGAGUAUGCUAACGGAUUCACUUGGGUGUCGCUUAAGAUUAAUGUUAGCUAUGGGGUCUCAUCACUAGCACCUGUUUUGAACUCUGCGUGUCAUCUGCUUGUCAGUUCGUGAAAUUAUGACCAACUCAUUAAGCCUGAAAUUUAAUCCUUUGUUUGUGCAGAAUUUUCUGCUGCAAUCAAGAUAUUCGAUAGAAAAUAAACAUACUACCCGCAUGAUUGUUACUGUUGUGCUAUUCUGAUAACUAGUGGCUGGGGCGCGCCUCCUAGGGCGGUACUGAGUGCACCGACAGCACUUUUCAGAAAACUCUCCGCGAAUAGAAGGAUCAACCAUCUUUGACAGAGAAUCAAAGUCAUGAAGGUGACAAUCGGCCCAUCUAACAAAAUGUUUCUCAACACGCGGGCGAGAACUGCAUAUUUCAACAAAAAUGUAGGCACAUGAGGAAGUACAUUCACAUUUUUGCGAAGAUGUGUGAUCUAAAACAGUUACAGAGAAGGUCCUGAUUAAGCACUGCGAAUUACAUCGAAUCACUCACCUGUCAUAUGGUUUACGGCCAGCGAGAAGUUCUAGCAUUACCACAACCAAAACUGUGAACAUCACUUCGAUACGGUGGAACGGUUUUGGUGUGGUUCUGUUGGAAGGAACGACCAACAAAACAAAGGAAUGUUGAGGACUCUUGCCCAGGUUUGAUUUCUGCUCAUUCUUACAGUUUAGUUUCUCCACAUCUUUUAGGAUUCUUGCCUAGGUUUGAUGAUACCAUGAAAAUUUUGGCCGACUAAAUUUUAUUUUUAGCCGUGCACAAACUAUUUCAUGUAAUUUUUGUGCACAAAAUGGAUAUUGGGAGAAAAUGAUUAUUCUUCCUUUUACUAAUCACCCCUGUUUGAUCGUAGCUUAACGAAUUUCCCUUUUUUGUAGACGUAUAGCCAGCUACAAAAUGCUGAUGCAAAUGAUAUCCAUGGACCUUCACAAGCUCGUCCUAUAUUUUAUUUAUCAAGUUUGUAAUUGUUUUCAUUUUGGAAAAAGUUCAUCUUUGGCCGAAAUGCCAAACAGACUCAACUUUCAGAAUGUCCCAAUCUGGCCCCUCAACUUUCCGUUUGCUCUGCAAUCAACUAAAUUAUGCAAUGGUGCAAUCAAACAUAUUUGAGCCAUCCGAUGUGCAUCCUCUGGCAAUGACUCACGCACGGAGCUCCCACCUUUUUUUUUUGCAGGUGAAGCUCCCACCUCUCGUUGGAUACAUCUUUGCAAACACCACCCCGCGAUCAGCCUUCAUUUUUCUAAAACGCCCCUGGAAACAACGACCUCCCCCGAUCUUCUUCUCUCAAUAGAUGGAUCUCGAGAACACAUGGAGUACUCGUUCAUAUUGUUCGAAUGAACGCGUUCAUUUUCAAUGUCCAUUGGAAGUUGAGCUUCACACUAAGAGCAUGUACAGUGCGACGCUUAUAAGCCGACACUAG
rnacentral:lncRNA from 1 species